AGGAACAUGUGGUUUAAUUCGAUGAUACGCGAGGAACCCUUAACCUGGGGCUAGAACGCAUUCGGAAUCAGGCCGAAAGGCCUGCGCCAGCGAUGGCCGCUUGCGAGGUGCUGCAUGGUUGUCGUCAGCUCGUGCCGUGAGGUGUCGGGUUAAGUCCCAUAACGAGCGCAACCCCUACUGCUAGUUGCCAGCGGGUCAUGCCGGGGACUCUAGCGGAACUGCCAGCGUAAGCUGCGAGGAAGGUGGGGAUGACGUCAAAUCAGCACGGCCCUUACGUCCAGGGCUACACACGUGUUACAAUGGCCGGUACAGAGGGCAGCCACCCCGCGAGGGGGCGCGAAUCCCGAAAGCCGGUCCCAGUUCGGAUCGGAGUCUGCAACCCGACUCCGUGAAGCUGGAUUCGCUAGUAAUCGCGCAUCAGCCACGGCGCGGUGAAUACGUUCCCGGGCCUU
rnacentral:rRNA from 1 species